UCAACCGUAACUCCCCCUGAUUCACUUGUUUCUCAGAAUUCAUUUCCAUCUACUGGGAUUUCCAUUUCUUCCAUUUUCGAUGCUUCAUUUGCAAUUCACUUGUAACUUUUAGUUCAUUUCCAUAUUCUGUUUCGCAGCACCAGAACCACUCUAGUAUCCACGAUUGCAUCUUCUUUUUCCGAUUCCGAAGUCGGAAUCAUUUCAAGCAGGGUAACGCUACUUCAUCUGAAAUUACUGAAAUUGAUGAUAAUGAAACAACCUCAACACCAGGAGACGAUAAAUUGAUUCGGAGAACAACAAGUAUUCGGAUAUCUUUGUAUUACUGGAGUAGCAAAUAUCUCCUUACUCUUCUGUUGAUAAGUCUUAGAUUUGGCAAAAGCUUCAGCACUACUCUCAGUUCCCUGAUUUCAACAACCAUCGUUUUUAUACUUGCUCGAGCCGAGGGAAAUUCAGGAGAGAUUCGACAAGCAGCUGGUCUGCUGCUGAAAAAUAAUCUCAGAAUUGCAUAUAAGUAACUGGAUUAUGGGUAUUGAAUUUUUCAAUAUAAGUCAGAUUGUUGCAUCAUUAGCUGUUCUAGCAGUUUCCAGGAAUGAGAAGCCACAAGCUCCAUUGUUCACUUGGAUUGUGGGUUACGUCGCAGGGUGUGCUUUUAGUAUUCCUAUCCUUUUCCAGCAUUGUUUUCUCCCGUAUCCUACGAGGGUCAUGAUGAUGUUAUAUAUUGAUGGAAUACCGAUCUUGAAUCUCGGUGAUGAAAUGGCUAAAAGAGGGAUAAAUCCUGGUGGUAAGAUGGCAGCAGCAUCAAAGAAUCACAACUAGCAUCAGUUGAGCAGAGACAAGACGCAUUACGAAUCCAUACACUCAAUAUAUCCUCAUUGAAGCGAAUGCUCAGCACUGCACCACAAACAUUAUCUCCAUAGUCAAGUUGAUCACCAACCAGGGCAAGAAACUGCAAAUGUAAGAAGAUACUUCGCUGUUGGUUCCUGAAGAUAUUACCAGCAUCAAACUUGGUGAUAUUAUCCCUGUCGAUGCUCGUUUACUCCAAGGACUGAAAAUCGAUCAGUCAUCUCUUACAGGAGAGUCACUCCCGGUUACUAAAAAUCCCCCUGACUGAGUUUACUCGGGUUCAACAUGCAAACAAGGUGAAAUCGAAUCAGUAGUUAUCGCAACCGGCGUGCAUACUUUCUUUGGGAAAGCAGCACAUCUUGUGGAAACACAACACAU